rnacentral:rRNA from 1 species
ACGUAGGUGGCGAGCGUUAUCCGGAUUUACUGGGUGUAAAGGGCGAGUAGGCGGGAUUGCAAGUCAGAUGUGAAAACUAUGGGCUCAACCCAUAGACUGCAUUUGAAACUGUAGUUCUUGAGUGAUGGAGAGGCAGGCGGAAUUCCCGGUGUAGCGGUGGAAUGCGUAGAUAUCGGGAGGAACACCAGUGGCGAAGGCGGCCUGCUGGACAUUAACUGACGCUGAGGCGCGAAAGCGUGGGGAGCAAACAG